rnacentral:lncRNA from 1 species
AGCUACAUCCGUCACCUGACACGGCCCUACCAGGAACAGCCGCGCUCCCGCGGAUUCUGGUGCUGCUCGCGUCCCCGCUCCCCUAUUCCCCUUAUUUUAUUCCUGGCUCCCCUCGUCGAAAGUCUUCCAUUCUUCAAACUAGAUUAUUUAAAAAUGAAAAAGGAAGAAAGGAAAGCGAGGUCAUCUCAUUGCUCUAUCCGCCAAUCAGGAGGCUGAAUGUCAGUUUUGAACUAAAAGCCGCUCCGCUCCUCUUCUAGAUUUGGAAAACAAGCGAAAUUAAACUAAACCGCUGCACGCCUCUGACGCGACAUCUGGACACGGCGCGGCGCUGGCGCUGCCGGAGCUGUCGACCCGGCCUGGCGCCGGACUAGUGUCCCUUUUGAUGAGAAGAAUAAGCCUCAUUCUGAUUCAACAGCAGAGAUCAAAGAAAAGACUUCUGUUUUCUGGCCACCAGAUAUAUGUUAUCUGUGCUUAAAGAAUUGAAAAACACACAUCAAAGGAGAAUUUUCUUGGAAAGAGAGGGUUCAAGCAUCACUGUUAGGUGUGCUGGAAUCCUUUCCCGAGUCAGUACUGCUUUCUAGAAGAAAACCGGGGAGAUCUAUUUGGAAUGUAUCUAACUCCAAAGAAACCAUCAGAGGUAACAGUAGAGACGGGGUUUCACCAUGUUGGCCAGACUGGUCUUGAACUCUCGACCUCGUGAUUCGCCCGCCUCGGCCUCCCAAAGUGCUGGGAUUACAGGUGUGAGACACCACACCCGGCGGAUAGAGAGAAUUUUGACAGAUAUGACACAUUCAUAAUUUAAACAGAAGCCUACGAAGAACUCAUAAAUUAAAAGAAGAUAAUCUUUUCACAAGGUGAUGGAGGCUUUUUAUUUUGCCACAAAACCACUGGUGACGUUGCCUGUGGCCACCUUGGAGAAGACACUGGAGACAGGGUCUCACUCUGUCACCCAGGCUGGAGUGUAUUGGCAUGAUUACAGCUCACUGCAACCUUGAACUCCCAGGCUCAAACCUGAGCAGCUGGGACUACAGAUGCACCACCAUGCAUGGAUGAUUACGGAGCUAGGAAUUUCCUACGAAGCUGGGUGAUAAAAGGACAUUGGACAAAAACACAGAUAGCUUCAUUCUAUACCAGGAUCCAUCACUGAUUAGCUGUAUUAUAUUUGUCUCUACUGUAAUUUGAGGAGAAUGAUACCUGCUUCUCUAUCUUGUUGGGUUUUACAGAUGAUGUAUUGAAAGUUCAAUAAAAUCUAUAAACAAUAGAUCUCUGUGGCUUGAAUGGUCCUCAGAUAUCUUGACCAAUGAUUCUCAAAUGCUUACCAUAGACCAUAAUUUUUCCCCACAUGACACUGCUUCAUAUUUUUAAGUUUUUUUUCACCAAAUAUUUUGUUUUACUAUCUCCAAGCCCUGAAACUUUUUUUCUCCCUCAAACAUGACUUCAACUUUACUAUCCUGGUCCCUUUCUAUUGAAUGUGUUUUGUUUGUGUCUAUAUUUCUUAUAGUGUCUUGAACUGAUUGUACUUACGAUAUGACUUGACUAGCAUAAGAUAGAAUAGGGCAGUCAUCUUCUUUGAUCUAGACUAGAUGCUAUCCUUCUAUUAAUGCAGUUGCUAGUUUUGUAUUUGCUUGCUUUCAAUUUUUUUUUUUCAGAUUUUGGUAACCACUGUUACUUGACUCGUAUCAAACUUAUCAGUAGCUAAAACCCCCAUUUUCCCUCUUCCUGUGCUUAUUUGACUAGUUUUGUUGCGCUUUCUGAAAUGUUUCUCACUUGUUUUUGACCAAAAAAAUAAAAAUAACAAAUGCCA